GUGCCCUUAGCUCAAUUGGAUAGAGCAUCUGACUACGGAUCAGAAGGUUAGGGGUUCGACUCCCUUAGGGCGUGCCA
rnacentral:tRNA from 1 species